AUAUUGUACAAUGGGGGCAACUCUGAUCCAGCCAUGCCGUGUGUGUGAAGAAGGCCUUCAGAUUGUAAAGCUAUUUAUGUUGGGAGGAAAGGCUUUCGGUUACUACCCUGAAGCUUUGCCGUCACCAACAGCAUAAGCACCGUCUAACUCUGUACCAGCAGCCGCGGUAAUACGGAGGGUGCAAGCGUUAAUCGGACUUACUGGGCGUAAAGCGCGCGUAGGUGGUUCAGUAAGAUAGGUGUGAAAGCCCCGGGAUUAACCUGGGAACUGCUUUCAUAACUGCUGGGCUAGAGUACGGUAAAGGGUAGUGGAAUUUCCUGUGUAGCGGUGAAAUGCGUAGAUAUAGGAAGGAACACCAGUGGCGAAGGCGACUACCUGGACUGAUACUGACACUGAGGUGCGAAAGCGUGGGGAGCAAAC
rnacentral:rRNA from 1 species